AACGUAGGUUCCGAGCGUUAUCCGGAUUUACUGGGCGUAAAGCGCGUUCAGGCGGUUCGGCAAGUCGGGCAUGAAAUCUCUCGGCUCAACCGGGGAGAGGUUGUCCGAUACUGUUGGACUUGAGGGCAGUAGAGGGUGGUGGAAUUCCGGGUGUAGUGGUGAAAUGCGUAGAUAUCCGGAGGAACACCAGUGGCGAAAGCGGCCACCUGGACUGUACCUGACGCUCAAACGGCGAAAAGCUAGGGGGAGCGAACGGG
rnacentral:rRNA from 1 species